CCUACGGGUGGCAGCAGUGAGGAAUAUUGGUCAAUGGGCGCGAGCCUGAACCAGCCAUGUAGCGUGAAGGAUGACUGCCCUCCGGGUUGUAAACUUCUUUUAUAAAGGAAUAAAGUGCGGCACGUGUGCCUUUUUGUAGUUACUUUAUGAAUAAGGAUCGGCUAACUUCGUGCCAGCAGCCGCGGUAAUACGGAGGAUCCGAGCGUUAUCCGGAUUGAUUGGGUUUAAAGGGAGCGUAGAUGGGUUGUUAAGUCAGUUGUGAAAGUUUGCGGCUCAACCGUAAAAUUGCAAUUGAUACUGGCAGUCUUGAGUACAGUUGAGGUAGGCGGAAUUCGUGGUGUAGCGGUGAAAUGCUUAGAUAUCACGAAGAACUCCGAUUGCGAAGGCAGCUUACUAAACUGCCACUGACAUUGAUGCUCGAAAGUGUGGGUAUCAAACAGGAUUAGAUACCCUUGUAGUC
rnacentral:rRNA from 1 species